UACGUAGGGGGCAAGCGUUGUCCGGAAUCAUUGGGCGUAAAGAGCGCGUAGGCGGCCCGAUAAGUCCGCUGUGAAAGUCAAGGGCUUAACCCUUGAAUGCCGGUGGAAACUGUCGGGCUAGAGUGCGGAAGGGGCUACUGGAAUUCUCGGUGUAGCGGUGAAAUGCGUAGAUAUCGAGAGGAACACCUGCGGCGAAGGCGGGUAGCUGGGCCGACACUGACGCUGAGGCGCGAAAGCUAGGGGAGCGAACGGG
rnacentral:rRNA from 1 species